CCGAGCGAGCGCCUCCCGGGCGCGACCUCCAACCCUUUGUGAACAAAACCUGUUGCCUCGGGGUGACCCGGGCCCCGCCCGGCCCCCGACGGACGAUUAGAAUCAACUCUGCAUCUUUGCGUCGGGUAUGAAAAAGUUUAAUUGAUUUA
rnacentral:misc_RNA from 2 species